rnacentral:rRNA from 1 species
GACGUAGGGCGCGAGCGUUGUCCGGAUUUAUUGGGCGUAAAGAGCUCGUAGGCGGCUUGUCGCGUCGAAUGUGAAAACUCGGGGCUCAACUCCGAGCUUGCAUUCGAUACGGGCAGGCUAGAGUUCGGUAGGGGAGACUGGAAUUCCUGGUGUAGCGGUGAAAUGCGCAGAUAUCAGGAGGAACACCGGUGGCGAAGGCGGGUCUCUGGGCCGAUACUGACGCUGAGGAGCGAAGGCGUGGGGAGCGAACAGG